AUCGCAUGAUCCGGUGUGAAAAACUCCGGUGGUAUGGGAUGGACCCGCGUCUGAUUAGCCAGUUGGCAGGGUAACGGCCUACCAAAGCGACGAUCAGUAGCCGACCUGAGAGGGUGACCGGCCACAUUGGGACUGAGACACGGCCCAAACUCCUACGGGAGGCAGCAGUGGGGAAUAUUGCACAAUGGGGGAAACCCUGAUGCAGCGACGCCGCGUGAGCGAAGAAGUAUUUCGGUAUGUAAAGCUCUAUCAGCAGGGAAGAAGAAUGACGGUACCUGACUAAGAAGCACCGGCUAAAUACGUGCCAGCAGCCGCGGUAAUACGUAUGGUGCAAGCGUUAUCCGGAUUUACUGGGUGUAAAGGGAGCGCAGGCGGUGCGGCAAGUCUGAUGUGAAAGCCCGGGGCUCAACCCCGGUACUGCAUUGGAAACUGUCGUACUAGAGUGUCGGAGGGGUAAGUGGAAUUCCUAGUGUAGCGGUGAAAUGCGUAGAUAUUAGGAGGAACACCAGUGGCGAAGGCGGCUUACUGGACGAUAACUGACGCUGAGGCUCGAAAGCGUGGGGAGC
rnacentral:rRNA from 1 species